AUGUUUGAUUAUAUACAUAUUUAUACACAUCUGUGCAGGGUCAUAUAAAAUUUCUAAGACAAAAAAGGGUCAAUAUUUAAAAGAAUUGAGGCAUAAUCCAAAAUAAAAAAAAUACAUUCAAUGAAAAAAUUUAUAUGGACAAGUUGGAUAUAGUUACAGGGGCAAUUGGUGGUAAAUUUGGCUCUUCCACCUCUAAUUUUUAUUCAGUAGGUAAUUGUAGUACAAUUGGAAUCAUUACCUGGACUCCUUGAUAUUUGGGGCUAGAUUGUCUUCUAUAUGCUGAUGUCACAACUGCUGGAUGCUUACUCCUAGAAAGCUUCAGAAGAGAACCUGGCCAAUAGAAAGACAUCAUCACGUGUUUAGGUGGAUGGAGCUUUGGCACUGUCUUAGUUAGGAUUUCUGUUGUCAUGAAAAAACACCAUCGCCAUGGCAACUCUUAUAAAAAAAAACACAAAACAUUUAAUUGGGGCUGGCUUACAGUUUCAGAGGCUUAGUCCAUUAUCGUCAUGGCGGGAAGCAUGGGAGCGUGCAGGCAGACACGGUGCUGGAGAGCGAGACGUGAGUUCAACACCUGGAGCUGCAGGCAGCAGAAAGAGACUGAGACACACUAGGCCUGGCGUACCACCGCCAUCCUUUUGAGGCAAAGGCACAGCCGCAGAUUGUGUUGAAGUCACUGUGGAGGUUUGAAUGAGAAAUGUCUCGGCUACCAUGCCUGCCACAUGGCUACCACGCUGGCAAUUCCGGCCAUCAUGGACUCCAGCCCCUUGAAACAAUAAACCAAAGCAAACUCUUCGUUCUGUCAGUUGCGUUAGUCAUGGUGUUUAAUCACAGCAACAGAAAAGUAAACCCCACAGUCACCUGCAGCGACUUCCUCCAGAGAGGGAGGAGAGCCACCACCACGUUGUGAUUAGUCACCAAUAACGAGUGACUUACUCGACCUUGUGUGCAGAAUGUAACCUCCGUGCAGACUGCCAACAGUGGAGUCAGAGAGCUUCCAGGUUUGUGAAAACAGUUUCAGGAGAGCGUGGCAUUCCUGGAGGUCCUAGAAUGUCUGUAUCCCCCCAUCUCCGCUUGCAUCCCUAACACAUUCAUUUGACUGUUUCUGAGGGUAUUGGUCAGAACAAGCUGAUAAUAGUAAGCAAGCUAUUUAACCGAAUUCUGUGGCCCUUUACAGCAUAAUGUUGAAACAGAGGGAGGUGGUACUGUGAGAAUUUGUAGCCAAUAGAGAUAAAGUGUAGACACCUAAGGACCCAAUGCUUGAGGAGCUGGUAUCUGAGGUGGGGCAGUCUGGGGACUUGAAGUCUUAGAGUGGCCGGAUACCACUGCCAGAUAUUUUGCAACAGAAUUAAACUAUAGGACACCCAGCUACUGUUCAGAGAGUUGAACAUUUGACUGGGAUGGAGGAACUCAGAGUUGUGUUACAAGUAGAUGAUAGGAUAAUCUUAUCUUCAUGGGAAUGAAACAAAACCCAGAAAUUUAUUCCAGAAAGAAUAAUAGGAACCUUGCCAGGAGGGCUCACUAGGGCCCAGAUGUGCUUCUUUGUAAAAGAAAUGAAAACGUGUGUGUGUGUGUGUGUGUGUGUGUGUAUGUGUAUAUGUACGUCAUGAAGCAGCCUGUAGUCAAAGACAACUUUCUGAAGUCAGUUCUCUUCUUCCAUAGUGGCAUGUGGGGAUGGAACAUGGGUUGUCAGGUUUAUAGGAUGAGGGCUUUGCCCUGCCAAGGUACCUUGCCUGCCCUGGAGUCUUCAUUUCUUGCAAACAUUUUUAUUGACAGUGAAGACUUAGUUCUUUUACCUUCUCAUCUUUAUGUGCAUCACACAAAACAAUAACUUUAAUAACUAUUAUAAGUGUAAAUAAAUGUUCACUUACAACAUCUCAUUACUGUAUUAUGAUAGGGAUAAUAAUGGUUGGGGCAAAGGGUCUAAAUCCAAUUCCACAUAGCUCUAUUGAUCUUCUGUCUUAUUCUUUCUCAAAGAUCUGACAAACCCCUCUUCUGCCAGCCCCAUAUACCAUUAUACAUUCCUUUCUUAGAUCUGUGUGCAUAGAAAACAAAAUUAACACUCUCUUUCCCCUAAUUUUCCUUAAAUGGUCACCAAACUGGUUCAAGGGAAUAUCUUUGCAAUGUGGGGUAUCUGUACAAGUUUUGGCUCGCUAUAUGUUUUUCUUUUUUUUUUUUUGUAUGGAUUUUCUCUGUAUGGUUUGUACAUAUACUAUGCAGUAUAAUAGAAAAUGUAAGAGAGGAGCAGGAGAAGAGGAAGAGGGGAAAGAGGAGAGGGAAGCCUGUGAAGAUAGAAAUCAACUUCCUGUUUUAAGGCUAUCAUUACCAUUUUGUCUACACUAGUACUUGAAAUAAUAAAGACUUUUACUCAUUCACAUAA